GACGAACGCUGGCGGCGUGCCUAAUACAUGCAUGUUGAGCGCUGAAGGUUGGUACUUGUACCAACUGGAUGAGCAGCGAACGGGUGAGUAACGCGUGGGGAAUCUGCCUUUGAGCGGGGGACAACAUUUGGAAACGAAUGCUAAUACCGCAUAAAAACUUUAAACACAAGUUUUAAGUUUGAAAGAUGCAAUUGCAUCACUCAAAGAUGAUCCCGCGUUGUAUUAGCUAGUUGGUGAGGUAAAGGCUCACCAAGGCGAUGAUACAUAGCCGACCUGAGAGGGUGAUCGGCCACAUUGGGACUGAGACACGGCCCAAACUCCUACGGGAGGCAGCAGUAGGGAAUCUUCGGCAAUGGACGAAAGUCUGACCGAGCAACGCCGCGUGAGUGAAGAAGGUUGUCGGAUCGUAAAACUCUGUUGGUAGAGAAGAACGUUGGUGAGAGUGGAAAGCUCAUCAAGUGACGGUAACUACCCAGAAAGGGACGGCUAACUACGUG
rnacentral:rRNA from 1 species